GAUGAACGCUGGCGGCGUGCCUAAUACAUGCCAGUCGAGCGAACAGACGAGGAGCUUGCUCCUCUGACGUUAGCGGCGGACGGGUGAGUAACACGUGGAUAACCUACCUAUAAGACUGGGAUAACUUCGGGAAACCGGAGCUAAUACCGGAUAAUAUAUUGAACCGCAUGGUUCAAUAGUGAAAGACGGUUUUGCUGUCACUUAUAGAUGGAUCCGCGCCGCAUUAGCUAGUUGGUAAGGUAACGGCUUACCAAGGCAACGAUGCGUAGCCGACCUGAGAGGGUGAUCGGCCACACUGGAACUGAGACACGGUCCAGACUCCUACGGGAGGCAGCAGUAGGGAAUCUUUCGCAAUGGGCGAAAGCCUGACGGAGCAACGCCGCGUGAGUGAUGAAGGUCUUCGGAUCGUAAAACUCUGUUAUUAGGGAAGAACAAAUGUGUAAGUAACUAUGCACGUCUUGACGGUACCUAAUCAGAAAGCCACGGCUAACUACGUG
rnacentral:rRNA from 1 species